GAUGAACGCUGGCGGCGUGCUUAACACAUGCAAGUCGAACGAUGAAGCCCAGCUUGCUGGGUGGAUUAGUGGCGAACGGGUGAGUAACACGUGAGUAACCUGCCCUUAACUCUGGGAUAAGCCUGGGAAACUGGGUCUAAUACCGGAUAGGAGCUUCAACCGCAUGGUGGGUGUUGGAAAGAUUUAUCGGUUUUGGAUGGACUCGCGGCCUAUCAGCUUCUUGGUGAGGUAAUGGCUCACCAAGGCGAUGACGGGUAGCCGGCCUGGGAGGGUGACCGGCCACACGGGGACUGAGACACGGCCCAGACUCCUACGGGAGGCAGCAGUGGGGAAUAUUGCACAAUGGGCGCAAGCCUGAUGCAGCGACGCCGCGUGAGGGAUGACGGCCUUCGGGUUGUAAACCUCUUUCAGUAGGGAAGAAGCGAAAGUGACGGUACCUGAAGAAGAAGCACCGGCUAACUACGUG
rnacentral:rRNA from 1 species